UCUUGCAAGAUAGGCCUGCCAGAGUGAUUCACAGGAAGCUACUUGACAUUUUUUUAGUAGUUCACAGCAAGAAAUUGUCUUUAGCGUCUGGUGUUCAUUUGUCAGCUCGUAAGUCCUUACUUCUUCAGUGUGUAGCUGCUUGGCUUGCAUCUUCACAAGCAUGUACAGAAUAUUAUUUUUGGGAUCAUCUUGGAGUUACCUUUCUCAUGCUCGGCUCUUGACAUAGUUGGAUGUUUCUGUCAUGUCACUCCUACGGCAGCCAUCAAGCAUGAAACCUGCAAACCUAAAUGUGAGCAGACAAGGUUGUAUCUUGUUGUACAGUGACAACAUUACCUUUCAACUAUGUGUCUCAGGCUACGUUGUACACCUGAAGUUAAUCAUUAUAUUCUUCCACUGUGACGAAUGGGAUGUAUUGACAUUAUAAACAAAACUAGGUCUGUUUUUCUUGUUUGUUUGUUUACUGUAUAGCACAGACAUUUCAACAACAAAUACUUUAAAUGCCAUCCCCCAAAUUUGAACUCAACCAUUUCCGAGGACCCUUCUUCAGGCACUGUGAUGAUGAAACCUUACCUACCCCAAUGCCUUCCUUCUUUUCAGAUUUUGCUGAGGCUUAUGAUCCGUAGAGUAAUUGGAGCAAUAUUUGAUAAAAAGAGGAAAAUCUCCAGGGUCUUCCCAUUUUCAACAUCAUUUCAAAGAUGCCAUUUUUUCCUGUUUGAAAUUACCCAAAUUUAGCUUCUUCUUCUUCUAUUCAUAAGAGGUCUCUACCACCCACUAGUAGAGUGAAGUGACAUUUUGUGGUCCAUUCCUUCCCCUUUAGCAUAAGUUCUUCUACUCUGCACCCAGUGGGUGCUGGGCUAAGUUCCAGGUCACUUUUGAUCCUGAAUUGGAUUAAACAGGUAAUCAGAAAAUGAAUGACUAAAUAUAGGUCUAUGUGUAGUAUGGGAAUUCAUCAUAACAUACUGUAUUGUAUAGUGUUCUAAUCACUGCUGGCCUCAGAUCAUGGGCUUAUGUUUUAUGUUUAUGCGUUAUGUUUUAAAUGACUUCAUGGAAAUCUCUGGCCAUGCAUUAUUCUUUAUUUGUUGUAUGCUAUAGCUGAUUUGUGGAAUUUGCUUAUUAGCACAAAAAUUAACAUGCGUAUAUAUAUACAC